UACGGGGGGGGCAAGCGUUGUUCGGAAUUACUGGGCGUAAAGGGCUCGUAGGCGGCCAACUAAGUCGGAUGUGAAAUCCCCAGGCUCAACCUGGGAACUGCAUCCGAUACUGGAUGGCUUGAAUUCGGGAGAGGGAUGCAGAAUUCCAGGUGUAGCGGUGAAAUGCGUAGAUAUCUGGAGGAACACCGGUGGCGAAGGCGGCAUCCUGGACCGAGAUUGACGCUGAUGCGCGAAAGCCAGGGGAGCAAACGGG
rnacentral:rRNA from 1 species